rnacentral:rRNA from 1 species
UGUAAGCGUAUACCAAAGUUGUUGCAGUUAAAACGCUCGUAGUCGGAAUUUGGCAGUUCCGGAUGUGUGCACGUCGUGUGCGCACUUCGCGGGGAUUGCUUUUGUGGUCUUGCGUAGGAUGAGGCACUUUUAUUAGUGAACGUCCUCACGCAACCACUUUUUACUGUGAGAAAAUCAGAGUGCUCAAAGCAGGCAUUUGCCGUGAAUGUAUUAGCAUGGAAUAAUAGAAUAGGACUUGGUUCUAUUUUGUUGGUUUGUUGGGACUGAGUAAUGAUUAAGAGGGACAGUUGGGGGCAUUUGUAUUUCGGUGCUAGAGGUGAAAUUCUUAGAUUACCGAAAGACAAACUGCUGCGAAAGCGUCUGCAAAGGAUGUUUUCAUUGA